rnacentral:lncRNA from 1 species
CAGCCUUCAAGAAGUAGAGCUAAUAUCACGUGGCCCAAAACCCCCAUCAUAAAUCACAUUGUUAGUCUGUCUGGUAGCCAAAACCACUAGGUAAACAAAGAUACUCCUAUCAAGCAAAAUGUUCUAUGGGCCUGGAAAUCACCUCCUAGUAGCUGAGAGCAAAGGCCAGACCUCUCUUUGGCAUGGCUUGACAAGCAGUGCAUAGGUCUGUGCCUGGUAUCUGAACUGGCGAACCCCGGGCCGCCGAAGUGGAACGUGUGAAUUUAACUGCUGCACCACCAGGCCAGCCCCCAGCUGACCUUUAACUCAUAUGAACCACAAAAGGAAAGUGUGAGUCAGAGGGUAGUGUGGGAGAGACCCCAAGCCAAGACAAAUGAGAAUGCUCAGUGUAUUUUUGGAACUUGGUUGGCUGCAGGUACCUGAAACUGUGGAAAAU